UAGUCUCGCACAGAUGCAUAUCAAUAAGCGGAGGAAAAGAAACUAACAAGGAUUCCCCUAGUAACGGCGAGUGAAGCGGGAAGAGCUCAAAUUUGAAAUCUUAAAGGGUUUCCCUUUACGAAUUGUAGUUUAAAGAAGUGUUUUCUGUUGAGGUUUUGGUAAAAGUUCUUUGGAAUAGGACAUCAUAGAGGGUGAGAAUCCCGUAUUUGACCUUUACUUUCAACUUUGUGAUACACUUUCAAAGAGUCGGAUUGUUUGGGAAUGCAGUCCAAAAUGGGUGGUAAAUUUCAUCUAAAGCUAAAUAUUGGCGAGAGACCGAUAGCGAACAAGUACCGUGAGGGAAAGAUGAAAAGAACUUUGAAAAGAGAGUUAAACAGUACGUGAAAUUGUCAAAAGGGAAGCGUUUGACACCAGUGUUGUUUUUCUGAAAAUCAAUUAAAGAACUGUUUAUGCUAAGUUGUUUAGACUUUAUCAGCUAACUGUUUAGUUUUGAGCUUUUCUUUAAUGCACUUUUCAGUUAACAAGUCAACAUCAAUUUCUUUUGCUGUAAAAAAGCUUGAGGAAGGUGGCUUGAGAUUCGUCUUAAGUGUUUAUAGCCUCUUGCCUAUGCAGUCGGAGAGAUUGAGGUCUGCAGCGUAGAUCCUUCGGGGCUAAAUGCAUUUGUGCUAAGUUAUAGCAUUUUAUAGACAACUUGUUGACUAUGAUUUGUCUUGUAGCUUACUCGCUUAUGUUAUUUUACCUACGCUUAGGAUGUUGAGCGCAUGUCUCUCUCU
rnacentral:rRNA from 1 species